ACCACCCUUUUCUCGGGGUUGUGCUAUUGUCCAAUAGCGCAUAGUGAGGGCAGUACUGCCAGCGCCUAAACAACGCACCUUCAUAAACUAGAGCUUUGCUUUACCUUGGUGCAAUUUUUGGAAAA
ensembl:snRNA